GGGGAUUUAGCUUAGCGGCAUAAGCACCUGCCUUGCAAGCAGGUAGUCGUGAGUUCGAUUUCCACUACCG
rnacentral:tRNA from 1 species